UUAAGCGACUAAGCGUACACGGUGGAUGCCCUGGCAGUCAGAGGCGAUGAAGGACGUGCUAAUCUGCGAAAAGCGUCGGUAAGGUGAUAUGAACCGUUAUAACCGGCGAUGUCCGAAUGGGGAAACCCAGUGCAAUUCGUUGCACUAUCGUUAACUGAAUACAUAGGUUAACGAGGCGAACCGGGGGAACUGAAACAUCUAAGUACCCCGAGGAAAAGAAAUCAACCGAGAUUCCCCCAGUAGCGGCGAGCGAACGGGGAGCAGCCCAGAGUCUGAAUCAGCUUGUGUGUUAGUGGAACGGUCUGGAAAGUCCGACGGUACAGGGUGAUAGUCCCGUACACCAAAAUGCACAGGCUGUGAACUCGAAGAGUAGGGCGGGACACGUGGUAUCCUGUCUGAAUAUGGGGGGACCAUCCUCCAAGGCUAAAUACUCCUGACUGACCGAUAGUGAACCAGUACCGUGAGGGAAAGGCGAAAAGAACCCCGGCGAGGGGAGUGAAAAAGAACCUGAAACCGUGUACGUACAAGCAGUGGGAGCACCUUCGGGUGUGACUGCGUACCUUUUGUAUAAUGGGUCAGCGACUUAUAUUCUGUAGCAAGGUUAACCGUAUAGGGGAGCCGCAGGGAAACCGAGUCUUAACUGGGCGUUAAGUUGCAGGGUAUAGACCCGAAACCCGGUGAUCUAGCCAUGGGCAGGUUGAAGGUUGGGUAACACUAACUGGAGGACCGAACCGACUAAUGUUGAAAAAUUAGCGGAUGACUUGUGGCUGGGGGUGAAAGGCCAAUCAAACCGGGAGAUAGCUGGUUCUCCCCGAAAGCUAUUUAGGUAGCGCCUCGUGAAUUCAUCUUCGGGGGUAGAGCACUGUUUCGGCUAGGGGGUCAUCCCGACUUACCAACCCGAUGCAAACUACGAAUACCGAAGAAUGUUAUCACGGGAGACACACGGCGGGUGCUAACGUCCGUCGUGAAGAGGGAAACAACCCAGACCGCCAGCUAAGGUCCCAAAGUCAUGGUUAAGUGGGAAACGAUGUGGGAAGGCACAGACAGCCAGGAUGUUGGCUUAGAAGCAGCCAUCAUUUAAAGAAAGCGUAAUAGCUCACUGGUCGAGUCGGCCUGCGCGGAAGAUGUAACGGGGCUAAACCAUGCACCGAAGCUGCGGCAGCGACACGAUGUGUUGUUGGGUAGGGGAGCGUUCUGUAAGCCUGCGAAGGUGUGCUGUGAGGCAUGCUGGAGGUAUCAGAAGUGCGAAUGCUGACAUAAGUAACGAUAAAGCGGGUGAAAAGCCCGCUCGCCGGAAGACCAAGGGUUCCUGUCCAACGUUAAUCGGGGCAGGGUGAGUCGACCCCUAAGGCGAGGCCGAAAGGCGUAGUCGAUGGGAAACAGGUUAAUAUUCCUGUACUUGGUGUUACUGCGAAGGGGGGACGGAGAAGGCUAUGUUAGCCGGGCGACGGUUGUCCCGGUUUAAGCAUGUAGGCUGGUUGUCCAGGCAAAUCCGGAUAAUCAAGGCUGAGGUGUGAUGACGAGGCACUACGGUGCUGAAGUAACAAAUGCCCUGCUUCCAGGAAAAGCCUCUAAGCAUCAGGUAACAUCAAAUCGUACCCCAAACCGACACAGGUGGUCAGGUAGAGAAUACCAAGGCGCUUGAGAGAACUCGGGUGAAGGAACUAGGCAAAAUGGUGCCGUAACUUCGGGAGAAGGCACGCUGGUGUGUAGGUGAAGCCCCUGCGGGUGGAGCUGAGACCAGUCGAAGAUACCAGCUGGCUGCAACUGUUUAUUAAAAACACAGCACUGUGCAAACACGAAAGUGGACGUAUACGGUGUGACGCCUGCCCGGUGCCGGAAGGUUAAUUGAUGGGGUUAUCCGUAAGGAGAAGCUCUUGAUCGAAGCCCCGGUAAACGGCGGCCGUAACUAUAACGGUCCUAAGGUAGCGAAAUUCCUUGUCGGGUAAGUUCCGACCUGCACGAAUGGCGUAAUGAUGGCCAGGCUGUCUCCACCCGAGACUCAGUGAAAUUGAACUCGCUGUGAAGAUGCAGUGUACCCGCGGCAAGACGGAAAGACCCCGUGAACCUUUACUAUAGCUUGACACUGAACAUUGAGCCUUGAUGUGUAGGAUAGGUGGGAGGCUUUGAAGCGUGGACGCCAGUCUGCGUGGAGCCAACCUUGAAAUACCACCCUUUAAUGUUUGAUGUUCUAACGUUGGCCCCUUACCGGGGUUGCGGACAGUGUCUGGUGGGUAGUUUGACUGGGGCGGUCUCCUCCCAAAGCGUAACGGAGGAGCACGAAGGUUAGCUAAUCCUGGUCGGACAUCAGGAGGUUAGUGCAAUGGCAUAAGCUAGCUUGACUGCGAGCGUGACGGCGCGAGCAGGUGCGAAAGCAGGUCAUAGUGAUCCGGUGGUUCUGAAUGGAAGGGCCAUCGCUCAACGGAUAAAAGGUACUCCGGGGAUAACAGGCUGAUACCGCCCAAGAGUUCAUAUCGACGGCGGUGUUUGGCACCUCGAUGUCGGCUCAUCACAUCCUGGGGCUGAAGUAGGUCCCAAGGGUAUGGCUGUUCGCCAUUUAAAGUGGUACGCGAGCUGGGUUUAGAACGUCGUGAGACAGUUCGGUCCCUAUCUGCCGUGGGCGCUGGAGAAUUGAGGGGGGCUGCUCCUAGUACGAGAGGACCGGAGUGGACGCAUCACUGGUGUUCGGGUUGUCAUGCCAAUGGCACUGCCCGGUAGCUAAAUGCGGAAGAGAUAAGUGCUGAAAGCAUCUAAGCACGAAACUUGCCCCGAGAUGAGUUCUCCCUGAGACUUUAAGUCUCCUGAAGGAACGUUAAAGACGAUGACGUUGAUAGGCCGGGUGUGUAAGCGCAGCGAUGCGUUGAGCUAACCGGUACUAAUGAACCGUGAGGCUUAACCUU
rnacentral:rRNA from 1 species